rnacentral:rRNA from 1 species
AGUGAACGUUGGCGGCGUGCCUAAUACAUGCUAGUCGUACGAAGUGGCGCACGGGUGCGUAAUAUAUAGUUACUCUGCCCUACACCGAGGAACCACAGUUGGAAACGGCUGCUAAUACCUCAUAGUGUAGGAUGCGACUUUGUCGUAUCAGCUAGUUGGUAAGGUAAUGGCUUACCAAGGCUAUGACGCGUAACUGGUCUGAGAGGAUGAUGGGUCACAUUGGAACUGAGACACGGUCCAAACGCCUACGGGAGGCAGCAGUAAGGAAGAGUGCGCAAUGGGGGAAACCCUGACGCAGCAACGCCGCGUGGAGGAUGACACUUUUCGGAGCGUAAACUCCUUUUAUCAGGAAAGCGGUACCUGAAGAAUAAGCACCGGCUAACUCCGUGCCAGCAGCCGCGGUAAUUC